UGGGCCUUGGACUAGUAGAUUAACCUGGAGGCAGAGGGGGCAAUGGACUCCCAGAACACCAUGAAGACCUGAGUGGAACCGGGUAUAGAACCUGAAGUUGUCAUCAGAUGCUCAGAAUCUUGGCAGCUGGAGAUGGUGAACAGAGCGCUGUUGGACUUGUAGCACUAGCUCCUUGAUUCAAUCCAGUGGAGCAUCCAACACACCCAUAGAAAAGAAAGAGGGUAAUUUAUAUGGCAAAAUUGUACUAUUAUUCUGUUUGAUUGUCAGUAUCAUAACACAGUAAACCAACUCUAAGUCUAGUUCUCAGGACAAACGUAAUCAAGUAUGUUAUGGUAGUGCUAUUUGGUUUAAGAAAAUGUUGGUCAAAACUAAGGGGAGGGUGGCUUAAGCUGGAGAGCAGAGUGGGAGAACAUAGAUCAUGCAAGCUGGCUAGCGAGUUAGUAGUUUUGUUAUUGUUAUGUCAAAAGCUGAAUACAGGUAAUGCAAUAUCUGAACUAUAGCAACCGUUUGCAGAACUAUAGCUCUGAGCUAAGUUCACGUUACUCGCCAGGGAGUGCACGCAGUCAUGGUCCGCUGCAGUCACUUCAGAGGCACCAACACUUGUGUCCAUAUCGGAGACAUCCACUUCCUGUUCCCAGUCGCGCACUUGCUGUAUCAGGGAGAGACCGAGACUGCAGGCUCUUCCCCCAGUCGUUCCAGAGAACCAACAGGGAACUUUCAGUCUUAAUGCGAACACGGUGUUAUGUAGAUGUUGGUCGGAUUCAAAUUUAGACGAUUUGUAUUUGCUCUCACACAGCUGUCACAUACAGUCGCAUCCUUUGGGAAGUUGUGAAACCUGAGGUAUGGGUGUUUUUGUUUGUUGCUGGGACACUACAGUAUCAUUGGCGAGUGGACUGUGCAGCCAUUAUGCUAGCUUGCUAACUCGGUGCUGUUGCUAGCAACCGGAACAUAAACAACGGCGCUUUGCUGAACUUCCGUGAAAGAAUCCUAUAUGUAACUUUUUGGGAGACCUGACCAAAUUCACAUAGUAAUUUGGAUGACCCUCUGGCUGCAUUCCCCAUCUUUAAAAAGUAUGACAGAAACGGGUUGAAUCUCCAGAUAGCGUGUAAGAGAGUGUCCACCCUCAACCCUAUCUCUGUGGAGUGGGCCUAUGAACUAACCACGACCAACAUGCAAAAACUUUAUGAGGUCCAGUUGGAGAGCAGAGUAAGGAGGAAAGGACUGGGCAAGUUCCUCAUCCAGAUACUACAGCUCAUUGCCAACAGGUUUGAGAUCGAUGACACCUCCCCUAGUAUGUCUGGUUGCUGCGGUGACGACUGCACCUAUGAGAUCCUGUCGCGGCGGACCAAACACGCAGAGGCCUUGGGUCACAGCCAUGGGGGAGGGGGGCACUGUGGGGGCUGCUGCCACUGAGGGAUAUGCCUACUUCCAGUUCCUGUUUCCCCAUGUCCUGGUCCCAUGCUCUAAAACCUCUCCCACUUUCCUAAUCAUGAGUCUUUACCGUUCCCCCCCAACGCCCAAUUGUACACCCCCCUUUAAUCCCCAUAAUUGACAAACCGACCCCCUCUUUUCUGUCCUGUAUCGUUUCAUCUUCACCUUCCAUCACCUUCAAUGCCCUUGAUGAUGUAAGGAGGUUUUCACUCAAAAUCUCGUCCAAAGUCUGGUCCCUUUGCAGAAAAACAGCCCCAAAGCAUGAUGUUUCCACCCCCAUGCUUCAAAGAAGGUAUGGUGUUCAUUGGAUCCAACUCAGCAUUCUUUGUCCUCCAAACACGACGAGUUGAGCUUUUACCAAAAAGUUAUAUUUUGGUUUCAUCUGACCAUAUGACAUUCUCCCAAUCUUCUUCUGGAUCAUCCAAAUGCUCUCUAGCAAACUUCAGACGGGCCUGGACAUGUACUGGCUUAAGCAGGGGGACACGUCUGGCACUGCAGGAUUUGAGUCCCUGGCGGAGUAGUGUGUUACUGAUGGUAGGCUUUGUUACUUUGGUCCCAGCUCUCUGCAGGUCAUUCACUAGGUCCCCCCGUGUGGUUCUGGUAUUUUUGCUCACCGUUCUCGUGAUCAUUUUGACCCCACGGGGUGAGAUCUUGCGUGGAGCCCCAGAUCGAGGGAGAUUAUCAGUGGUCUUGUAUGUCUUCCAUUUCCUAAUAAUUGCUCCCACAGUUGUUUUCUUCAAACCAAGCUGCUUACCUAUUGCAGAUUCAGUCUUCCCAGCCUGGUGCAGGAAGAAUUAGGUUACAGCCUUAUUCUAAAAAUAAUGACAAAGCAAAAAAAAAUGUAUUUUUGCUAAUCUAUUUGAAAAAAAAACUGAAAGGCAUUUACAUAAGUAUUCAGAACUUUACUCAGUACUUUGUUGAAGCACCUUUGGCAGGGAAUACAGUGUCGAGUCAUCUUUAGUAUAAUGCUACAAGCUUGGCACACCUGUAUUUGGGGAGUUUCUCCCAUUCUCUGCAGUCCUUCCUUUCAAUAUCUGUCAGGUUUUCAAUAUCUGUCAGGUUGGAUGUGGAGCGUCGCUGCACAGCUAUUUAGGUCUCUAGAGAUGUUCGAUCUGGCUCAAGUCCGGGCUCUGGCUGGGCCUCUUACGAACAUUCAGAGACUUGUCCCAAAGCCACUAUUGUGUUGUCUUGGCUGUGUGUUUAGGGUUCUUGGUGACCUUCAAUGCCGCAGACAAUCCUGUCUCGGAGCUCUACGGACAAUUCCUUCGACUUCAUGGCUUGGAUUUUGCUCUGACAUGCACUGUCAACUGUGGGACCUUAUAUAAACAGGUGUGUGCCUUUCCAAAUGAUGUCCAAUCAAUUGAUUUUCCCACAGAUUGACUCCAAUCAAGUUGUAGAAACAUCUCAAGGAUGAUCAAUGGAAACAAGAUGCACUUGAGCUCAAUUUCACGUCUCAUAGCAAGGGAUCUGAAUUUUUAUCAAAAUAAGAUAUUGUUUUUUUAACAUACAUUUGCAAACAUUUCUAAAAACCGGUUAUCGCUUUAUCACUAUGGGGUAUUGUGUGUAGAUUGACGAGGGAACAUUUUUAUUUAAUCCAUUUUAGAAUAAGGCUGUAACGUUAGAAAAUGUGGAAAAAGUCAAGGGGUCUGACUAUUUUCGAAUGCACUGAAGAUGAGCUGUUUUAUGUAUGAUCUCUCAUUUGUUUCCCUCUACUUUCCAACCCGAUAAUAUCCUAUAUCUGUCUCGGGUUUAAAUCCCAACUGACACUCCUUGUUUUUCUUAGCAAGCAUGUUACGGUCCAAUAGUUUGUGGUAAAGAAGACAAAUCACCCCUAAUCACAGAUUUCCUUAACCCUUAAACAAUAUGGGCCUGUUUUCCAGACACAGAUUAGCCUAAAACCAGUCCAGGAUUAAAAAACUAUUUUAAUUGCGAUUACACAUUGAGUAUUUUUGUCUGGUAAACAGGCACAUGGUGGGUAAAAAUGGAGACCUGUGUCUAUAGGUAUCCUCUACCUGGAUUGGUGGCUUGGUUGGGUUUGUGUUGUAGGGAGUGGUGGGGAACAGUUUUGUUUCAAUUUAAAAUAUUUUCGUUUAGGGAAGAAACGUUAAAUUUUAGUUUUUAUUAACAUCAGACACGUUAUUUUAUUAAGACCUGUUGGAUAUCCUCACCUCAUCCUCAUGUUCAACUAGUUUUUAAAAAUGUGUGUCUGUCAAUCCCUCUAUCCUCAUCUCGGCCUCUCUUUCUCUGUAUAUAUAAUCUGUUAAAUUCAUUGAAUUUUUUUAUUUUUAUUUGCCUUUUACAGGUAAAACACUUGUUUUCAGUUUAAAAAUGACAUUUAAACUCAAUGUUUGGUAAUGAGUGGUCCUGUCUUGUGAUUGAUUGAAUAUUAACUGACAAAGAUGAAAGGGAAAAAAACUAGACUGUCAUUUCUGCCUUGUCAGUAUUUUAUUUGUAUGAUACAAAUAAAGGAAACUUGUUUGACUUCUA